rnacentral:lncRNA from 1 species
GUUUUAAGCAAAAAUAUUGAGUAUAGAUCAAGAUAUUUGUGUUUUGGAUUGUUUGAUAUGAGUCCUUAGCCGAUUAUUGAAUGCAUUGUUGUGUGAAUUGUUGUGUUGAAGUUUCGGAUUCAAUAGAACCUUCUUCGAGUAAAGAUAAAGGCAAGGAAAAGCUAGUUUGAGCUUUCAGCUUUUCGAUGGAAGCGUAAUUGGUGAGUGUUUGAGAUAAUUGCUUGUAGACAUGAUUCAAUGCAUUAUUUGGGAAUUUAGUAGUAGCCUAACCCCC